UACAGAGGGUGCUAGCGUUAAUCGGAUUUACUGGGCGUAAAGCGUGUGUAGGCGGUUUGUUAAGUCGGAUGUGAAAGCCCUGGGCUCAACCUAGGAAUCGCAUUCGAUACUGGCAAGCUAGAGUACGGUAGAGGGCGGCGGAAUUCCGGGUGUAGCGGUGAAAUGCGUAGAUAUCCGGAGGAACACCGAUGGCGAAGGCAACCGCCUGGGCCUGUACUGACGCUGAGACACGAAAGCGUGGGGAGCAAACAGG
rnacentral:rRNA from 1 species